rnacentral:rRNA from 1 species
AAAUUGAAGAGUUUGAUCAUGGCUCAGAUUGAACGCUGGCGGCAGGCCUAACACAUGCAAGUCGAACGGUAACAGGAAGCAGCUUACUGUUU